rnacentral:rRNA from 1 species
GAUGAACGCUGGCGGCGUGCCUAAUACAUGCAAGUCGAGCGAACAGACGAGGAGCUUGCUCCUCUGACGUUAGCGGCGGACGGGUGAGUAACACGUGGAUAACCUACCUAUAAGACUGGGAUAACUUCGGGAAACCGGAGCUAAUACCGGAUAAUAUAUUGAACCGCAUGGUUCAAUAGUGAAAGACGGUUUUGCUGUCACUUAUAGAUGGAUCCGCGCCGCAUUAGCUAGUUGGUAAGGUAACGGCUUACCAAGGCAACGAUGCGUAGCCGACCUGAGAGGGUGAUCGGCAACACUGCACAUAGGACUCGGACCAUACUCCUACGCCAGGCAGCAGUAGGGAGUCUACGUGAGAGUGUCAAAGCCGGACGGAGCACCGUCGGGUGAGGGCUGAAGGACUUCAUUCAGUAAACCCCUGUUAGUAGGGAAGAUAAAAUAUGUAAGUAUCUAUGCACGUCUUGACCGUACCCAAUCAGAAAGCCACGCCUAACUACGUG